rnacentral:rRNA from 1 species
GACGAACGCUGGCGGCGUGCUUAACACAUGCAAGUCGAACGGAAAGGCUCCAGCUUGCUGGAGUACUCGAGUGGCGAACGGGUGAGUAACACGUGGGUAAUCUGCCCUGCACUCUGGGAUAAGCCUGGGAAACUGGGUCUAAUACUGGAUAUGACCUUUCUCCUUAUGGGGUUUGGUGGAAAGUUUUUCGGUGUAGGAUGAGCCCGCGGCCUAUCAGCUUGUUGGUGGGGUGAUGGCCUACCAAGGCGACGACGGGUAGCCGGCCUGAGAGGGUGAUCGGCCACAUUGGUACUGAGAUACGGCCCAGACUCCUACGGGAGGCAGCAGUGGGGAAUAUUGCACAAUGGGCGGAAGCCUGAUGCAGCGACGCCGCGUGAGGGAUGACGGCCUUCGGGUUGUAAACCUCUUUCGGCAGGGACGAAGCGUAAGUGACGGUACCUGCAGAAGAAGCACCGGCUAACUAUGUG